rnacentral:rRNA from 14 species
UCCAGCUCCAGUAGCGUAUACUAAAGUUGUUGCAGUUAAAAAGCUCGUAGUUGAACCUCUGCGACGCGAGCAGCGAGCUUAGGCAAGCAGCGGACGUCGCAUCCACCUGUUAGCAGUCAGCUAUUGAGUUAGCGAGCUGUGACCAGGUAGUUUACCUUGAGAAAAUUAGAGUGUUCCAGGCAGGCGGUCGCCUGAAUAGUGCAGCAUGGAAUAAUAGAAGAGGACUGAACUCAUUUAUUGGUGUUAUGGGUUCGGUGAUGAUUGAUAGGGACAGUUGGGGGCAUUCGCAUUUAAUUGCCAGAGGUGAACUUCUUGG